CAGUUCGGAUUGUAGUCUGCAACUCGACUACAUGAAGCUGGAAUCGCUAGUAAUCGCGGAUCAGAAUGCCGCGGUGAAUACAUUCCCGGGUCUUGUACACACCGCCCGUCACACCAUGGGAGUCGGAAAUGCCCGAAGCCAGUGACCCAACUGAAAGGAGGGAGCUGUCGAAGGCAGGUCUGAUAACUGGGGUGAAGUCGUAACAAGGUAUC
rnacentral:rRNA from 1 species